ensembl:lncRNA
AUUUUUCAGUAAAGUUAUUUAAAAUAUGUCACAGAUAUACAUUUGUUUCACUGUGUGGGCUCACUGGGCAUCAAACUCAUGACCUCGCUCUACCAGUAGAGCCAGUGGAACGCAUACCAUGACUCGAGCAUAAUGUAACAAGCAUAUGCAGUGUGAAGUAAGUGAAACUUGGAAGCACUCUGCUACAGCUCUCAGUAGACCAAUUGAGAGUUUUUAAAUACUGAAGCACGACUGGCUCAUUUUCAAGUAUGCCCCUUGGCUGGGCCAAUUAUCUCACGCUACAUAUGGAAUUUCCUUCCUGAUAAUUGCCUGCUGUGAUCUGUAAUAUUUCCUGUAAGGGUCAAAUAGAAUGGCUAGGUCUUCUGGAGCUGUGAAUGUGCAGCAGAGGUCCAGGGCCUCAGCCAACGCCGCUGACCCGCGGGCCCUGAAGGAGGCCUUCUAAUGGAUGCUAAACUCCAGCCUGUGCAGUCCCCAAAUAGCCCUGGAGCACAAGGCUGGUCAGGGCACCAGGGGUGCAUGAGGCAUGGGCGAUUAUUUCUUUUUUUUUUUCUUUCUCAUUACUCAUUUACUCACACGCUACUAAUUUACAAAGAGUCAUUCUGUUGGCAUGGCUCUUAAGUGUUCCUGCAUGUCCGUGUAAUAUUUUAUUGCCUAGUUCAUUUCCAGGAAGUUGGGUCUGGACUGUGUCAUGGUGUUUCUGUUUGAUACCUCGCCCUCCCCCAUUCUCAUGCCCUUGUAUCUCCUGUAGACAACCUCUGUCAUGCUACCCUCACCAUCCCCAGACAUAGUGGGGCGAGAUCAGGAGGAGGCUCGAUGAGGUGUAGGUUUUCCUUCAGGGGGAUUUAAACGUAGGAAGGUGAUAGGCUAUCGCUUCAACUUCACGCUCUCACAUUUCAUUUUCCACUACUUAGCGGAGCCUCUGAACUCGGUGUUUAAGCCAUGAAGGAUCCUCCUUUAGCCCCAUGGGGUCCUGGCUAAUCCUCCGAGGCCGCACUUCAGUUAGCCUUAGAGAGCAGCGCUUUAAAUCAGCUCAAGACCUCAACUGAGCGGAUCUCAAACCAAACGCCUAGCCGCAGCCUUCAGCUUCAGAGGACCGGCUCCCUCAGACAGCCACCAGAGAGCCUUAGCUUCUGCUAUUCUGCUAGGAUAUUUGCUCUGAUUAAACUGGCUUCCACUAUCGGCCAAAUGUGGGGGAACUGGUUUGCGCCAAGGCCAG